AUGUCCAUUUGGAGAAAUCCGAUAAAAUUAGAAUGAUACAGAAAAAUUAGUAUGGCCCCUACGCAAGGAAGACAUGCACAAAUCGAGAAAUGGUGCAAAAUUUU